rnacentral:lncRNA from 1 species
GGAAACACAACGUUUCGCCUGUGGAGCCUUCGGGUGUAUUAGUACCUGCAGAUUUGUGGGGGUAGGUUUUCGUGGGCUCUGUCCAACAGACUCCGUUUACAGUCGCCGUUUGCAAGGCUGAUGGCUUCGGGAACGAAGCUAAAAUUUCCUUUUAUUUGUCGGGGUUGCUGCGGAAGCCAGUAUCGCGAAAGACAGUAAAAUAAAAGCACAUCCCGUUCAGCCCAGGUUAAGUAAGACACGUGGGGGGCGGCGACGACGACAAGUAAAGCCUUCUGUUUUGGCGGAGACGAAACAGCUUUAUUGAAGCAGGGGAGGAUAAGAAAAGACUUGGAGGCGCGCAGCAGUAAGCAGCAUUGUGCACUGCAAGGGGGGGGGGUCGGCUCGUGUUAAGACGGCGAUGCCCGGCGGUUGUGCUAUCGGCAGCCCCAGGGUGAGCAAACACACGAGCGGGUGGGUGCCGGAGACAAUUUCAUGCCUGAGAGCACAUUCCGAUCUGUUCAAAUCCGAGGCUCACCGGCACAAGCCACGCUGCAGAUACGGGUGGAAGAUAAAUUAUUGGAGGUGUCCGUUUCCCAGAAACUUCCCCUUGAUCAAGUCGCGAACAGCUCGCAGUGGUCGCUUGAAGUCCACGACGGCCGCCGCACCCGGACUCUGACCCUCAGCCAGGCCCGAGCGCAGGGCUACGAGCUGAGCACGGGGAAGAGGCAGACCGUGAUCAGAGCUUAUUACAGCGCAAAGGGCCUUCGCAUCUUCUCGAGACCCCAGAAAAAGAAGAGCUUGUAUCUUGCGGAUUUGCUGCUAAGAUGUGAUCUUGGUUAUACAAAACUUCAAAUGCCCAUCUUGUUUCUCUGCGUACCAGAGCCAGUGACCUGCCGAGAGACUGAUAUCAGGAUUGAAGUUCCAGCCUUCAAUGGGACGUUCCUCAGCAUGGCUGUUGAGGACCGGACCUACUUGGCCACUCGGAAGCAUCUGGAUGUUCAAGUACAGCGUCUAUGGGACACCCUGCGCCUGACCGUUCCAGCCUCCAGUCCGCUGGUACGGAGGAGGGUAAGGUCAAGUGGUCUGGCCCGUCGGACAACGGAUUUUCAGCUGCAGGUCUAG